rnacentral:rRNA from 1 species
GAACGCACCGCAAGGUGAGUGGCAGACGGGUGAGUAACACGUGGGAGCAUGCCCUUCGGUUCGGAAUAACUCAGGGAAACUUGAGCUAAUACCGGAUACGUCCGCGAGGAGAAAGAUUCAUCGCCGAAGGAUUGGCCCGCGUCUGAUUAGCUAGUUGGUGAGGUAACGGCUCACCAAGGCGACGAUCAGUAGCUGGUCUGAGAGGAUGAUCAGCCACAUUGGGACUGAGACACGGCCCAAACUCCUACGGGAGGCAGCAGUGGGGAAUAUUGGACAAUGGGCGCAAGCCUGAUCCAGCCAUGCCGCGUGAGUGAUGAAGGCCCUAGGGUUGUAAAGCUCUUUUACCUGGGAAGAUAAUGACGGUACCAGGAGAAUAAGCCCCGGCUAACUUCGUG